UAAAUCAUUUAUCGAGGAUCUAUUGGAGGGCAAGUCUGGUGCCAGCAGCCGCGGUAAUUCCAGCUCCAAUAGCGUAUAUUAAAGUUGUUGCGGUUAAAAAGCUCGUAGUUGGAUCUACGAUCAAGUCUUGUGGUCGCUCUGCCUGAGUGUACUGCAUUGACUGAUCCAUAUAUCCAGUAUUCGAUUGAUGCUCUUCAUUGAGUGUCUCUAGUUGCUGGAACUUUUACCUUGAAAAAAUUGGAGUGCUCAAGGCAGGCUAAAGCCUGAACAUUGCUGCAUGGGAUAAUAGAAUAGGACUUCGGUUCUAUUUUGUUGGUUUCGGAACACGAAGUAAUGAUUAAUAGGGACAGACGGGGGCAUUCGUAUUGCUGCGUUAGAGGUGAAAUUCUUGGAUCGUAGCAAGACGAACUACUGCGAAAGCAUUUGCCAAGAAUGUUUUCAUUAAUCAAGAACGAAAGUUAGAGGUUCGAAGGCGAUCAGAUACCGCCCUAGUUCUAACCGUAAACGAUGUUAACUAGCGAUCCGCAGGAGUUACUUUAACGGCUCUGCGGGGAGCUCCCGGGAAACCUAAGUGUUCGAAUUCCGGGGGAAGUAUGGUUGCAAAGCUGAAACUUAAAGGAAUUGACGGAAGGGCACCACCAGGAGUGGAGCUUGCGGCUUAAUUUGACCCAACGCGGGGAAACUCACUUGGUCAGGACACUGUAAGGAUUGACAGAUUGAAAGCUCUUUCUUGAUUCGGUGGAUGGUGGUGCAUGGCCGUUCUUAGUUGGUGGAGUGAUUUGUCUGGUUAAUUCCGAUAGCGAACGAGACUCUAACUUGCUAACUAGUCGCAGUUUUAUUCUGACUGUCGAGCUUCUUAGAAGGACAGGGGACGCCAGUCCCACGAGAUUGAGCAAUAACAGGUCUGAUAUGCCCUUAGAUGUCCAAGGCCGCACGCGUGCUACACUGAAGACGUCAACAUGUUAACCUAACUCGAAAGGGUUUGGGGAACCCUAUGAAACGUCUUCGUGCUAGGGAUUGGGACUUGUAAUUAUUUCCCAUGAACGAGGAAUUCCUAGUAAGUGCGAGUCAUCAUCUCGCGCUGAUUACGUCCCUGCCCUUUGUACACACCGCCCGUCGCUACUACCGAUUGGAUGUGUUAGUGAGAUUUUCCGACUGGGACAAUGGCAGCUUCG
rnacentral:rRNA from 1 species